AAUCUAUACUAUACUAAAAGGAAGAUAUCCUCAAUCCUAAAGCUAUCCACCUAGGACUAAAAAAUCAGCCAAUUAGAAAUCACCUUACUGCCAAGUCACCAAAUUGUUACGAAAACCGGGACUUCUCAGCUUCACCUUCAUCGUUCUUAUAGUCUCUAUAAUCGGCUUUAUUUUGUAAUCGUUCCGACUCCUGUUCUCUCUCUCUUCAAAAAAUCCAGAAGACAAUUGUUCAGAUAGCUAUAAUCAAAGUCUUAUGAUACAUCUUCUUCUUAAAAGCUUGAAUCUCAAAGUGCUUUUUUUUGUUCUUAGUUUUCAUGGACUUGGAUCCAACAACUAUAUAUGAAUUAACUAAAUAAGAUUACAUCCCCUGAAAUUGCAGCCACUUACUAUCAGAGCAAAAUUGACGGAGGCAAACCACGUUUGCAAGGUGUGGGUAAAAGUUUUUUGCUUUUAAGAUUCUUUCAUGGCUCCUACACCACUAGAUCCAUCACCACCAUUGGGUUCUGUGACGUAUGCUUCUCUCUUUUGCGGACGUCCUAACGAGUUGCUUAUCUUUUGCUGCUGAUAUAGAGUUUAUUUUAAGAUAAUAACUCCUGAAGCUUGAUGGCAUAUGCUGAAAUGCAUCAUGCUCCAGAUUUGGGUCACGGCUGGUCACGAAUGUUUUGGAACUAUCACCAUUGGUGAGUGCGACCCUUUCAUAUGAGAUGCUUGCUCUAACAAUGUCCUUAACAUAAUAUUAGAGAGCUUGAGAGUCCAAGCUUCUUAUCGAGGGCAAUGGGCAUUAUUGCUGGUGUAUGAUGUCACAGACAGAUUAUCAUCGUGGUCUUAAAUCUUUGCUCUUUGAUUGCUGCUUUGAACCUGUUUUCUUGACCUUAUUCAGACAUUAAGACCCUCAUUCGUAAUAUCAGAUGGCAUGCUUCAGAUAAUGUCACCAAGAUCUUGGUAGAGAAAGAGGGUUACCGUAUACGCGAGUGCAUUGAAAUGAUUUACAACUUCUUGAUUCACGGCUAAUUUAAUAGAUAGUGUUUUUGGUAACUAUUUUACUUUUUUUGCAGACUGUGCCAAAAUGAAAAAAAUCAGGCACCCGGUGAUGGAUAUGGUUCUUUAAAACAGUAAGCCAAAGAUUGUUUCAUCAGAACAACUUAAACUAAUAAAUUGGUCGUAUUUGUUUUUGUGAGGUACACGAAUAUCCACCAUCUCAAAAGUUCACCACCUAUCCUCCAUUUUAAGAGCAGGUUUGACAGUGAAGUAUUAAUACGGGUUACAGAUUAGCACCUUUGAAGAGAGGGAAAAGCUAAGGAGAGAGAACUCUACAAGAGGAACAGUCUCUGCUUGCGGGAGCCUUCUGUCUUUUAUGAUAGCCAGUGAUCACUAAUCAUCAACACAAAUGAACAACAAUACUCUCAGAGCUUCUUGCUCAGUUUUCAAUCACUGUCGCUGAAACUUGAAUCGCUGCGCUGUUCUCCAUGUUCCUAGAUUUAUCGGAAAAUUUGCAACCUUUACUGUUGACUUGCAGGUGAUGGCUUCUAAGGAAUGAGACACAAAUUACUCUCUGAGCAAGCAUAAGCCACAUCCACUUUUUUUUUUCCCUGGUUUGAAAGAUCUUAUUUCCUAUGUAAACUAUGUCCUUUGACGACCUGAACAUAUAAAUUGGUUAUUAGGUUGUGUGAAUCAAUAACAAACAAGUCUUUGAAUA